UACGAACCGGACAAACGUUAUUCGGAUUCACUGGGCUUAAAGAGUGCGUAGGCGGUCUACCAAGUUGGGUGUGAAAUCCCUCGGCUCAACCGAGGAAUUGCGCUCAAAACUGGCAGACUCGAGGAAGGCAGGGGUAAGCGGAACUGAUGGUGGAGCGGUGAAAUGCGUUGAUAUCAUCAGGAACACCAGUGGCGAAGGCGGCUUACUGGGCCUUUUCUGACGCUGAGGCACGAAAGCUAGGGUAGCGAACGGG
rnacentral:rRNA from 2 species